rnacentral:rRNA from 1 species
GCCUAGCCAUAAACUUUGAUGGUACGACACAAAUACCAUCCGCCAGGGAACUACAAGCGCAUCGCUCGAAACCCAACGGACUUGGCGGUGCCCCACACCCACCUAGAGGAGCCUGUUCUAUAACUGACAAUCCCCGUUCAACCUCACCACUCCUAGCCCCUUCAGUCUAUAUACCACCGUCGCAAGCUCACCCUGUGAAGGACUAACAGUAAGCAAGAUGGGCAAAGCCCAAAACGUCAGGUCGAGGUGUAGCAUAUGGAGUGGGAAGAAAUGGGCUACAUUUUCUGUCUACAGAACACCAACGGACAACGUCAUGAAACCUGUCGUUCAAAGGAGGAUUUAGCAGUAAAAAGAAAACAGAGAGUUCUUUUGAAACCGGCCCUGGGGCGCGC